CCAGCUCGCAGAUCCAGCUUGCUGUACCACUGGGCACCAUGUAGCUCAUCUAACAGCUCCUGAAUAACCGGAAUGGGGUACUUGUCUGGAACAGUAAGCUUAUUGAGUUGGCGAUAAUCCACACAAAAACGCCACGAGCCAUCUUUCUUGCGAACUAAAAGAACGGGGCUGGAUUAAGGGCUAUGGCUAGGUUGUAUAAUGCCCGCAGCAAGCAUUUCAGCAACAAGGCGUUCCAUCUCAUCUUUUUGGGCAUGGUUAUAGCGGUAAGGUCGUACCGACACAGGUUGGGUACCUUCUUGGAGAGUAAUGCNUUCCAUCUCAUCUUUUUGGGCAUGGUUAUAGCGGUAAGGCCGUACUGACACAGGUUGGGUACCUUCUUGGAGAGUAAUGCGGUGAUCUGUGUCACGCAAUGGAGGAAGUCCCGUGGGAGGCUGACUGAUUGUGGGAAAGGCAGCCAAUACGGCGGCUAACUCACGUUGUGCCUCCUCUGAUAGGUCGGUGGAUACCCCAAAAUGUGCGAUCCCGUCCAGAAGCCACAACACCCAACAUUGGUCGUCACAUGUCAGACCACGCAGCUCACGGUGGUCACCUUGGCGCCGAGUAAGAGACAAGUCCCCGCGCAAACAUAUUCGACGGUCCUUGAAGGAGAACUCCAUUGUGAGGGCGGCCCAAUUAGCCUCAACAGUCCCCAAGGUAGCCAGCCAAGAAAUGCCCAAAAUCAAAUCCACACCAGUGAGAGGAAACACAUAACAAGGAACAUGGAAUAAUGUAGUGUCGAGUAAAAGAGGAACAGCCUUACAGAUACCGCCAGUGUGAACGCGAGAACCGUCUCCCAAUACGACGGAUAAACGAGUGGUGGGUACCACCUCCAAUUGUAAGGUACGUGCCAUCUUAUCGGAGAUGAAGCAAUGGCUUGCGCCACUGUCGACCAUGAUCAGAAGCCGAGUCUUGUCUACGCGGCCAAAAAAUUUCAUGGUUUGGGGACCAUCGAACCCACAAGAGGAAAGCUCAGACAGCUGCAGUUGGUGGAGGGUGGAGUCGGUCACAACGUCGGUGUUGGGGACGCAGAGAGGUUGGUCUGAUUCCGGUAGACCCGUGUCGAUCUCAG
rnacentral:lncRNA from 1 species